UACGUAGGGUGCGAGCGUUAAUCGGAAUUACUGGGCGUAAAGCGUGCGCAGGCGGUUCGUUAUGUCCGAUGUGAAAGCCCCGAGCUCAACUUGGGAAUGGCAUUGGAAACUGGCGGGCUGGAGUGUGGCAGAGGGGGGUGGAAUUCCACGUGUAGCAGUGAAAUGCGUAGAGAUGUGGAGGAACACCGAUGGCGAAGGCAGCCCCCUGGGCCAACACUGUCGCUCAGGCACGAAAGCGUGGGGAGCAAACAGG
rnacentral:rRNA from 1 species